rnacentral:rRNA from 1 species
UUUGCGGUGGUGCUUGCAUCACCAAUUACCGAUCAAACCGAGUGGCGGACGGGUGAGUAACACGUGGGUAACCUGCCCUUCAGCAGGGGAUAACAUUUGGAAACAGAUGCUAAUACCGUAUAACCACGGAGACCGCAUGGUCUCCGGGUAAAAGAUGGCGCAAGCUAUCACUGAAGGAUGGACCCGCGGCGUAUUAGCCAGUUGGUGGGGUAACGGCCUACCAAAGCGAUGAUACGUAGCCGACCUGAGAGGGUAAUCGGCCACAUUGGGACUGAGACACGGCCCAAACUCCUACGGGAGGCAGCAGUAGGGAAUCUUCCACAAUGGACGCAAGUCUGAUGGAGCAACGCCGCGUGAGUGAAGAAGGCUUUCGGGUCGUAAAACUCUGUUAUUGAAGAAGAACGUGUGUGACAGUAACUGGUCAUGCAGUGACGGUAUUCAAUCAGAAAGUCACGGCUAACUACGUGCCAGCAGCCGCGGUAAUACGUAGGUGGCAAGCGUUGUCCGGAUUUAUUGGGCGUAAAGCGAGUGCAGGCGGUCUUUUAAGUCUGAUGUGAAAGCCUUCGGCUUAACCGAAGAAGGGCAUCGGAAACUGGGAGACUUGAGUGCAGAAGAGGAGAGUGGAACUCCAUGUGUAGCGGUGAAAUGCGUAGAUAUAUGGAAGAACACCAGUGGCGAAGGCGGCUCUCUGGUCUGUAACUGACGCUGAGGCUCGAAAGCGUGGGUAGCAAACAGGAUUAGAUACCCUGGUAGACCACGCCGUAAACGAUGAAUACUAAGUGUUGGAGGGUUUCAACCCUUCAGUGCUGCAGCUAACGCAUUAAGUAUUCCGCCUGGGGAGUACGACCGCAAGGUUGAAACUCAAAGGAAUUGACGGGGGCCCGCACAAGC